rnacentral:rRNA from 1 species
UCAACGCUGGCGGCGUGCCUCAGACAUGCAAGUCGAACGAUUAAAGCUCUCUUCGGAGAGUGCAUAGAGUGGCGCACGGGUGAGUAACACGUAAGUAAUCUACCUUCGAGUGGGGAAUAACAGUCGGAAACGGCUGCUAAUACCGCAUAAUGCAGCGGCAUCGCAAGAUGACAGUUGUUAAAGAUUUAUCGCUUGAAGAGGAGCUUGCGGCAGAUUAGCUAGUUGGUAAGGUAAUGGCUUACCAAGGCUACGAUCUGUAACCGGUCUAAGAGGACGGUCGGUCACACUGACACUGAAUAACGGGUCAGACUCCUACGGGAGGCAGCAGUCGGGAAUUUUGGGCAAUGGGCGAAAGCCUGACCCAGCAACGCCGCGUGAAGGAUGAAGUAUUCCGGUAUGUAAACUUCGAAAGAAUAGGAAGAAUUAAUGACGGUACUAUUUAUAAGGUCCGGCUAACUACGUGCCAGCAGCCGCGGUAAUACGUAGGGACCAAGCGUUGUUCGGAUUUACUGGGCGUAAAGGGCGCGUAGGCGGCAUGACAAGUCACUUGUGAAAUCUCCGGGCUUAACUCGGAACGGCCAAGUGAUACUGUCACGCUAGAGUGCGGAAGGGGCAAUCAGAAUUCUUGGUGUAGCGGUGAAAUGCGUAGAUAUCAAGAGGAAUACCUGAGGUGAAGACGGGUUGCUAGGCCGACACUGACGCUGACAGCGCGAAAGCCAGGGGAGCAAACGGGAUUAGAUA